rnacentral:lncRNA from 1 species
UGGUAUUCAGAUCGAGUUUUUAAUUUUGUCUUCAUUGCUCUCUUUUCUUUCUUACAACCUAUCUUAGUUUUAGGAUAAGGCUUUGAGAUUUAAGACAAAGUCUUAUUUGAUCCUACCAAGGGUUGUGAGAGUCUUAAAAAAGGAGAAUCAGAAGUCCAGAGGAGGUUCUGAGAGGAUAGAGUUAGGUUCUUGGAGAAAUCUGACUAGUACAGGGCUAGUCGAGUUCUAGGAGCUGGAACUCUUGAAGCAAGGAAAAGAAGGAGUGC